CCGCCCGUCACAUCAUGAAAGCCGGUCGUACCCGAAGUCAAUGUGCCAACCGCAAGGAGGCAGUUGCCGAAGGUAUGGCUGGUGAUUGGGAUG
rnacentral:rRNA from 1 species